GGGCCGGUAGAUCAGCGGAAGAUCGCUCGCUUGGCGUGCGAGAGGCCUCGGGUUCAAAUCCCGACCGGUCCA
rnacentral:tRNA from 1 species